AAAAGUAAUAUUUUAUUUCAUUUAUUUUUCAGUGUUCGCAUUAUUUCUUAUAAUUGUAUUAUAUUAAAUCAAAAUGACUUUUUUCAAGCAGUACUUAGUAACGCUUACAUUUAUGGUCAUUUCAAUUUGGGUUAUACCUACAGCUACUGUAACUAUAGCAACCGUCAUAGAUCACUGCAAUGACAUUACAAAUGCAGUAUUCAAUGGACAUCCUCGUGGCUCUGUUCAAUCAUUUCUCAUAAGUCAUUCGUGAAUCAUGUUUUAUAUUUAAUGGGUAUUAUGUUUUUGUUCCUACACUUGGGAGCUUUUCGAUUUUUUCAGACUAAAAAAUUAAUUCAUAUAGGUAUCUCAGAUUAUUUUAAUUAUUUAAUUAUUUAUAUGAUACUUUGGAGGGAUUUAACUUCAGCUCGUUAACCUCACUUUUAGCACAUAACUGUAAUAUGUAUAAUUUUUAUUAUCUUUUAUCAAAUUUAUAUACAUUUAAUAUGUUAUAAGUUACGAAAUGGUGUAAUAUUAAAACUAUGAGCAUAUAUUAUGUAUUAUAAUAUAUAGUUAAGUUUAAUAUAUAGUCGAUCCUAAGGUCUAAUCCUUUUUUUUCUACUUAGGUUUAGAACUUAAUUAUUAUAGAUAGUUGUUUAAAAAUUGAUUGACGUAUACAAAAUAAUCGGACAGACAUUUAAAUAUUUUUAAAAGCUUACGCAAUAUGUAGUUAAUAAACAUAAUU